UGGCUUUUUGGAUGGAUCAGAGAGCCCCUGAAAACAUCCAGAAAAGAGUGUAUUUUCAGCAGGUGAAAAAGCUUUUUAUGUUUUGGAUCUUCCGAAAACAUCAGCGAAAGACUGUCCUUGCCAUCCAGACUACAACAAAAACUUUAGGACCUUGAAGUUUGGGUUCAUAAUCUCAUAAAUGAGAAGGGUCCCUCUACACUCUCAGAACUGUACACCCGUUGGAACCCUUAAGAGACCAUCAAGCUUCACAUCAUCAUGCAACAAAGGUUCCAGCCAGUUCCAGGUGAAGACACCACCCCUGGCCAUCAAGAAGCUACCUUGCCUUCACCAGACAGAGCAGGAAUUUUUGAGUUGGGUGGAAGUAGUGACUAUAUGAAGCAACUACCACUGAAGGACCAGAAAAGAAUAACGACAAUAUUAAAGAAAACAGCCAUCUUGGAGUCCAGUUAUAUUUUAAUAAAAGAUUUGUUCUCUACCAAUGCCCUACACUGCUAACAGGAAACUGCCUUCUGGAUUUGUGGGAAGUUCACCAGCAGGAAGCGCCAGUGGAAAUUGGGAGGGUGGCUAUAGCUGAUUUCCACUGUUCUUCAGUUAGUUUCCUGGCUGCUCACAAAGAUUUUCCUGCAUGCCACUGCUCUCCAGGAAUCUACCAACAUUCACGUAGACUUCUCAAUGAAUGGCACGGAAAGUUUCUUCUUAAGAAUAUGAAGACUGCACACAAAAGCAACUAGAGAAUAGACUACUGACAAUUCAAGGUAUCUGAACAUCAAUUUGUCUUGGAGGUUUUGCACACGUCAAACUCAGCUCUUACUGAACAGGUCAAUGAUACCAGUAUCACUGAGUGUCCAGUGGACUCUCACUGCAUUAUUUUAAUUCUAAAGUUUAUUUUAAACUUUACUGGGGUAUAACUGAAAUGCAAUAAACUACACAUACUUAAGGGCCAUAAUUUGUUGAGUUUUGACAUACUUAUACACUCUGAUAUGGUUUGGUUCUAUGUCCCCACACAAAUCUCAUCUCUCAUCUUGAAUUGUAAUCCCUACCUGUCAAAGGGGAGAAGUGAUUGGAUUAUGGGGGUGGUUUCCCCCAUGCUAUUCUCCUGAUAGUGAGAUCUGAUGGUUUUAUAAGCUUCUGGCAUUUUCUCUGCUUGCACUCACUUUCUCCUGUUGCCUUGUGAAGAAGGUGCCUGCUUCCCCUUUCACCUUCCACCAUGACUGUAAGUUUUCUGAGGCCUCCCCAGUAAUGCAGAACUAUGAGUCAAUUAAACUUCUUUCCUUUAUAAAUUACCCAGCCUCAGGUAGUGUUCUUUAUAGCAGUGUGACAAUGGACUAAUACAAACUCAUAAAACCAUUACUGCAAUCAGCACCAAAGGUUUUCAUACCCUCAUUUGUAAGCACUCCUGACCUGUCUUUUUCCACACCAGUUCCAGGACAAAUGGUGAUUUGUUUUCUGUGGCUAUAAAUUGGUUUACAUUUUGUAGAAUUUUAUAUAAAUGGGAUGACACAGUACAUUUUAAUUUUUGCUCUAGUUUGUAUCACUUAAUAAUAAUAAUUUCAACUUUCAUCCAUGUUGUUAAAUAUAUGAGUAGUUUAUACUUUUCUAUUGAAAAGUAUUAUUCCAUUUUAUGGAUAUACCAAAGUUUGCUUGCCCAUUCACUUGCUGGUGGACAUAUGGGUUGUUUCCAGUUUGGGGUUCUUAAAAGUAAAGCAUCUGUGAACAUGCAAAUACAGUCUUUGUGUGGACAUAUGUUAUUGUUUCUUUUCUGCUUCUAUUCUGUUUUCUAGAAGCAGAAUAGAUUGUAUGGUAGGUUUAUAUUUAUUUUCCUAAGAAACUGCCAAACUCUCUUUCAAACUGAUUGUACCAUUUUACAGUCCUACCAAUUCCAGUUUUAUUUCCUCCAUAUCUUUACCAACACCUGGAAUGGUGUUGUUUUAUUUUAGUCAUUCUAAAGAAGUAGUGUCUCAUUAUGAUUUUAUCUCAC
rnacentral:lncRNA from 10 species